GACGAACGCUGGCGGCGUGCUUAACACAUGCAAGUCGAACGGAAAGGCCCUGAUUGUGUGGUGUUCUCGAGUGGCAAACGGGGUAGUAACACGUGAGUAACCUGCUCUUUACUUUGGGAUAACUUCAGGAAACUGAGGUUAAUACCGUAUCGGAUCUCCCGCUGCAUGGUUGGCGUUGGAACGUUUCGGCGGUUGGGGAUGGACGCGCGGCUUAUGAGCUUGUUGGUGGGGUAGUGGCUUACCAAGGCUUUGACGGGUACCCGACCGGGGAGGGGGACCGGGCACAAGGGGACUGAGAGAGGGACCAGAGGGAAACGGGGGGCAGCGGUGGGGAACAUUGCACAAAGGGCGGAAGUCUGAGGAAGAAACGUCGGGUGCGUGAUGACGGUCUGUGGGGUAUAAAAAGCUGUCGCCUGUGACGAAGCGGGAGUGACGGUAACGAGUAAAGAAGCACCGGCUAACUACGUG
rnacentral:rRNA from 1 species